GAAGAAAGUUUGGAAGUUUGGAGUGCAAAGGCGAGGUUAUACACAGUGCGAUCUUAUUGGCCUUAAGCUGUAAGAAAAGGUAAUGUGCCGAGGAGAAGGUAGAGUGUGCCUUAUGAAGAGGGGGUGGUGUUGCACACGGGUAGUGUGAUGAUCUGAUGUGCAGUAAGAGUUAACAGCAGUUUUUGUGUACUUCUUGAGAAAGGGUGCCAGUGUGUGGCCCUGCUGGCCUAGAACUCUCUAUGUAGACUAGGCUGACCUUGAACUCAGGGAUUCACUUGUCUCUGCCUUCCAAGGGCUUAGAUCAAAGCCAUGUGCCAUCAUGUCAGUUUUGGGGGGAGGAGAGGGAGAAGAGAGGUAAUUUUAUUUAUAUGUCUUAAAUUCCUGUCUAUUUAUCUAUCAACAUAUUUGUAGCAAGAAAGACAUUCUUAAAAAGAAACAAAAAAUUCUGAGUUCAGGUCUUACGAAUCCAAGUUAGUACUCUCAAGUUUCAGGCUCUGACUCAAUCCACACUAAGAAGUGUGGGAAUAUAGAGAAUGCCAGUGCACAUAGCUCUACCCCUAACAUAACAGCCACUCAGAAGGCAGGCAAGCCCCUCUGAGAACCUGUGGCCAUUACAUCUGCAUAUAGGAAAUGGUAGGCUAACUGUAUAUGAUGGGGUCCUGAAUGGAGAUCUCAGAGACAGAGGUGGAAGCUUUAAACAUUGUUUUCCCUUUGAAACAGAGUCUCAGGCAUUACAGGUUGGCUGCAAACUUCGGGUGUGGCUGAGGAUGACCUUGAAGCUGAGGAUGACUUUGAACUUCUAAUCUUCCUGCUUCUACCUCUCAAGUGCUGGGGUGGUAGACAGGCGUCAUUGUACCUGAUUUUAUAUGAUGAUGGGAUCAAGUCCAGGCCUUUGUGCAAGCUAAGGAGGCAUUCUAUUAGCUGAUCCAUAUAGCUUUAGCCCAAGGCUCUGCAUUUAAAGAAAAAGUCUCUGGGGGUUCUGAUGAACCAAAUGAUGAGAUUUACCAGGUGCCAGGCAGAUAUAUGUCGUUCAGAGCAGAGUUUAUGUCAAGUCACUUUCUGAGGCCAGUUAGGUGACUCAGUGUGUUAGGAUCCUUACCAUACAACUUGGUAACCUGAGUUUGAUCCCUGGAACCUACAUAAAGGUGGAAGGAGAGAAUCAAUAUGAUGAAGUUGUCCUCUGAUCGUCACAUGUGUCAUCUCUCUCCCUCCCACCCCCUCACACAUACACACUAAUGAUAAUAUGAAAAUAUAAAAAAAAAAACUGGGGACCAAAAAGAUGGCUUAGUGGCUAAGAACUUUCUUUCAGUUCCCAGCACCUACAUUAGGAGGCUCACAAUUACCUGUAAUUCUAGCUACAGAUCUGAUAUGUAUACUUCUGGGCUCUGUAGGCACCACAUGCAUGAAUGUUAAUAUGUAUACACACAUGCAUAAAAGAAAACAUAAAAUCUUUUUUACAAUUAAAAAAUUAUUUUCUGGACAGAAACGAUCAGAUUAGACAUACCAUCAAACAUACACUGUACUGUGCAUACAAUCUGGAGGGGGUUCCUUAGACCUCCCAUUAAGAAGCCUCAAUCCCUGAUAGAAAGUGGUAGAAACUGCAGAUAUAAAGAAUGACGCUGGGAUCCCAGCCCUGACUUUAGCCUCUGCUCAUCUGUGUGCGAGUCCAGAGCAGACUUAUUUACAUGCCAAGAGCUCAGACCACAAGGGUUUGCUUCCCUGCUAUUCAAUUAAGGAUUUGCUGUGUGCCUACACUGCCAAGAACUGGGCCAGGCUCUGGGAAUUUAGCAGUGAACAAGCAGCCCUGCCUAUGAAGAUGCCCGGGUCCUGGCCCAUUCGUUCUCUUGGCUCUUGCCCAUCUUCUAGAGAUAAUGCUACGUCUUAUUGUCCUGUGCUCCCUCUCAGUCACUAUCAUGUUCUGGGAAAGGUGACAUCACCUCCCUGGGCUGGCUGUGCUGUUCCCAAAGUAGUUGCAGUGACCUCUCUAUGACAGAUGUUAUCAUUAGGUCCCAGUUGGCAGGGAGAGGUAGAUGAUUGUAUGGAGGGUUAGCGUCAGUAGUUCGCAGUAAGAUAGCUGCUUUGCUAUACAUGAAACCACCACUCAGAGGUUGCUUGCCUACAGGCGAUUUGAUAUGAGGCUCUUGAAAGGCUUGCCUCGAGUGGAGUGAUAGCGAUUUUUCCAGCGGAGGAAAUAUAGCCUUAGAGAAGUUAAACACCUUUUCUGAGUAAAUGCAGACCUGAGAUUUGAACCCAGAGCUUCCUGACAAUAAGGGAGGGUUUCUUUUUGCCAUAUGACUUCUUAGGAAAGGGUCAUGUGGGAACCUCUAACCCUAUCAGCUGUCCUGGGAUGCGGUGCAGUUUUUGUGCAUGCUAUUUGGCAGAUGGAUCCUGGGAUAUUGAGUGGUAUGGAGGGAGGGGGAAGAGUGACUGAGAGGCAGGAUCAGUAACCCAGGCCGAAACUUGUGAGAUCCAGGGUAAAGAGUGAAGGCAUAUGGGCCUCAGGUGUCAUCUGGAGCAUGUGAGGACACGCUGAUCUCUCUUGUACCCCAGCUCUCCAAUCACACCAUUCAGUUCUGCAGUUCCACCGCCUGGGGGCUGGUGCUGUGGAGCCGGAGAACCACAGAGACUCCCCAGUGACUCAUCUGCCUGCUUCCAGCAGCAGCCCACCAUGACUGGAGCUGAAGCCUGCCUGUUCCUGUUUAUGUGUGGAGGGAGACGGUCCCAUUCAGCUUUUCUUCUUUCUUAGAGUGGCCAGGAGUGACUGCCCAGCCAAGGGCGGUCUACUGUUCACAGGAGACCACUGGCCACUUGGGCGUGGCACUUAAUCCUGUUCAGGUUUCCAAAGUCAUUGACUAUCGAGCCAGGGAGGCUUAUCUGGCUCAGCCUGCUAAUUUCUCUGAAUAGACUGAGGGACAACUUGGGGACAUGGGUUGGCUAAGGUCACUAGGUAGCCAAGUGGCAGAGCAUGGGGGUUGUCUGCUACCCCAAGCAUUAUGAACAGACACCCUCCAUCCCUUUAAGACAGCAUUUCCUACAGUCCAAGCUGGCUUUGAACUCCUCAUGUCGCCAAGGAUGGUCUUUGACACCUGACCUUCCUAGCCCCACUUCCUGAAUUCUGGGAUUACAGAUGGGAGCCACCAUGCUGAGCUUCUGGGAACAGACUGAGUGUUUACCACAAGCUGGGGCAGCUCCUAGAGUAUUGAUUCUCAACCCCUCCUAACAACUUAGGAAAUAGAGUCAAGUGUGUACAUGUGUAUGCGCGCAUGUGUGUGUGCGCAUGUGUGUGUGUGCGCGAGUGUGUGUGUGUAUGUGUGUAUGUAUAUGUGUGUGUGUACACUCCCGCAUGCCAGUGAAGGCCAGCAGGGUUCUAGGAGCACCAGGAGUCCUGGUGAAAAAAAAAAUUCUGGUUCCUCUCUGCAAAGGCAAUGGGCAGUAGACACAGUAUUUGGGAGUGUGUAUUGGCUCCUGACAUCUCUGCUCCAUCAGUCCUGAUAGCCAAGAUCGAGAUCCACAAAAGGUGAAGCAGGACAAGUGCCUGGGGAGGGAGCAAGGCUCUGCUGGAUAAUAAACUGGCUGAUGGUAGGCCUGCGUCUUAUAUUUGUGUGCACUAUGUAGAUGCCAGAGGCCAACCUCUGGUGUUCCUCAGGUGCUGUCUAUCUUAUUUUAGAGGCAAGGUCUCACUGAUUAGUCUAUAUUGGCUAGCCAGUGAGCUCCGUGGACCCUCCUGUCUCUGCUUCCCCCAGGAGUGGGGUGGUAGAGAUUAUAAGCACCCGAUGCCAUAUUUUUUAAAUUUGUUUUUGUGAUGCUAGGGAUCCAAACUCAGGCCUUUGUACUUACACAACCAGCAUUUUCCAGAGUGAGCCAUCUCUCCAGCCCCACCACCCACACCUUAUUCAUCUCUCUGUUUCUUCAGCAGGCAGGACGGGGUAGAACAGGAAAACUAUUUUCAGCGUGAGAAGAUUCUGGACCAGAAUGCAGGUGCUCACCAUUUUCAGCCCCGUGACUUGGGCAAGGUGCAGAACCUCUCUGUGGUCGUUUGAACAAGAGUAAAUCUUCCACAGCCCCUUCACCAACAGGCGUUGGUCUCUGCCCCCAUACCAGGCAGAAGAGAUGCCACAUGCAGGAUUGCCAGGCUGGAAAUGGAAAUCCAACGUGUGUUUGCUGGCUUCUUGUAUGAAAUUUGGCUACCUGGUGAGGAGAGACUCUGGUGACCUCUUUACAAGCACUAAGUCCUCUAAUGGCUGCAUGGCAGAGGUAUCGGGACUGUUCUUUUACAGUUCAGAAAAAAGAAAGAUGUCCAAGAGGAAGGGACCUGCCCAAAGCCAUCGUAUGGAUGGAAGGGUCAGGGCACAGAUCUAGGAGGCCUGGUGACAUCGUCAGUCUUCUCAUUCUGGCUCUGUUACCUACCCUAGGCUGCUACUGCAUUUGCCUCUCUAGGUGGGUCCUCUCUAGGCACAGUCAAUCAUGUUUGGUGGGUGGGCUUUUCCAGUUAGGAAGACUCUUAAAAGUCGGGCCAGGGCCAAGGUGAUGGGAGGGAUUUGGAGGUCAAGGGUACACACUGCUUAGUCUGCUGUGGACACAUGGACUGAUCACUGCUCACAGACAGGAGAGAGUCUGCUCUUUAGAAGGGGGACUGAUGGGGGACUGUGUCUGGAAACUCAAGCUAGGCAGACCUCCAGGAAACUUGAGGAAGUCCUGAGGCUGAAGCCAGUUUGUCUUCUGGACAGGCAGCUUCUGGUAGUAGCUAGAAGCCUGAAGAUUCAGAGUCCUACUGAUUGAGGACUCUAAAUCUUCACUAGCUUGGUCGUUUACUACAUGUGUGACCCUGGAUAAGCACAGUGACUGCAUGACAGUCUGAACUUAGUUCUCCUCUAGAAAAUGGUUGUGCAAACAUUAUCUCAUAGGACUUUUAGGCUACCAUGAGGUAAACACAUACACACGCACAGCCUGGUAUCUAGCAGAUCAUGAAUGCUCAGUAGAUGGUAGCCAGCAGUAAGAGAUGAGGUGGGCGAGAGGUGGGGUAGGGAGGCCAGCUGAGGUUAAGGACUUCCUGUUCAUGGGCCAGCUGAGCCUCCAGGAGGACAAUGAGCACCCCACCUGGAUGUGGGCUGGGGCUGUGAGACUGCUGGCUGAGAGCUGGGGUCAGUGAGUAGAACGGGCCUGGACGGGGGUUUAGGGAAACAGGGAGGCUUUGUCUCUGCCAGUUAAUUAAAUCUAGAAUGCUAAACAAAAUGCAACUCAAGUAUGCUUUGGACAGGAUAUAAUGGAAUGGUUCCGUGUGAAACUACAGACAGCUCUGCAGCUGCUCACAAAGGCCGAGCACUUCGUGCUUCUCUGGAGUGGAGGCUCUAAACUAUGAGGGUGAAAAGCUUCAGUGAGACUCUAUGGGUGCAUUCCCUGUGCCAGCCACCAUGCUGAGAAACAAGGGAACAGACAUCGGAUACCCUGGGGUGAUGGGGUCCCAGGAACCCUAAGGGCCUGAGACCUAAGCACGAAGACCCACGGAAGAUGAGCGUUUUCUCAUUUGACCUUCUCAUUUCCCUGAUGAAGAACUGAAGCUCCAGGGUAUAAGAGUCUUUCUGUUUUAUUUUUGAGACAGGGUCCCAUAUAGCUUAAGUGGCCUUGAACUCACUAUGUAGCUGAGGAUGACCUUGAACUCUGGAUUUGCCCACCUUUAUCUCCUUAGUGUUGGGAUUACAGGUGUGCACCACCACCUCCUGGUUCUGAGGUUUGCUCCUAAAAGUCUCUCAUGUUGCUCCCUCAUUAGUAAGAUAGCAAAGAGGUUCUACAGGGGGCCUCCUGAGAGUCGGUGGCCUAAGACUCACAGCAGUGGCAGGCCAUGUCCUAGCUUGGAGUUCUUCAGCAGUUUUGGCUAAAUGACCUCAGAAAUCCAAAUCCAUGGCUGUCUAUUAUUUUUUUCUUAGGAUAAAGGACAGAUGUCCUAGUCAUGGCCAGUAGGAAUGGUCUAGCACCUCCGGGCUCCUGUGCAUCUCUUAAGGCUCCAUUUACAAUGCCUGCCUUCAGGUUGUCUGUUGAACUGGUCUGAAACCAGAGGGUAUGCUCCAAGAUGCAAAGCUCAAAGAAAAUUGUACGUAGUCUCUGAAUAGUCUAGUUUGCUUUAUACUGCAGUGAUAAACACUAUGACCAGAAACAAUUCAAGGAGGAGAGGGUUUAUUUCAUCUUACGGUUUACAGUCCCUUAUGGAUGGAGGUCAAGGCAGGAACCUGGAAGCAGAAGCUAAAGCAGGUUUCACAGGUACUGUAUGGGGGCAUCCUGAAGGACUGAUAGUAUUGCUGCUGCUUAUUGGCUUGCUCCCGUGGCUUACUUACUCUGUUCUCUUAUACAGUCUAAGAUCACCUGCCUUGGGGUGGUACCACCCACAGUGGGCUGGGUCCUUCCACAGUAAUCAUUGAUCAAACUGCCCUACGGAUUUGCCUACAGACAAUCUGAUGGAGACAGUCUCUCAAUUGAGAUUUCCUCUUUUCAGAUGACUGAUUCUAGCCUGUGUCAAGUUGACAACAAACAAACAAAUAAACAACCCCAUCACAGUGAGGGAGGAGUAAUGUCAUAUUUCUCUCCUGUGUGAUUGAUGAGAAGAGUGAGGUAAGAGAUGUGGCUGCAUGCCCAUUAUUAGAGGGGAAGAAAGGCCAGGUAUUCAGGGACAUAAAGAGAGCAUUUGCAUCUAUUAGGAGCAAAAUAUCAAGGAACUUAGACUCAUGGAUAAUACUGAGUAACAAAUCGAGAUCCAACACAGUGCAGGAACAACUUGACUUAGGACUGAGUUACUGCCCAUGAAGCUCAGUACAAGUUGAAACCAUCCUACGUAGACAUGUUUUUAUCCCACCUGACCUGCUGAAAAGCAAGCUUAGCAAUCAGGCGGAACGUCCGUGAUUUACCCUGCUGAUCUGACUGACCAGAAAGAAGCCUCAGAUCAUCGUUCCUGCCCAGAGCCCUGUUAAGAGUAGCGCACUGUAUGUUGCUAGCAUGGGAGAGGAUCCAAAUGUGAGGUUCUGUUUCUUCUGCUUCACCUUCACCUUCAAGUCAGAAAGAACUUUAGUUCCAACCAUUGUAAGACACGGAUUGUCUAUUCAAUAUACACAAUUUGAAAAUAGAGAAUGAAAUGUUGAAGUUCUUCAGCAAGGGCAGGAAUAAGAAUGAAUGUUAGACACAUGAGCUAUGUAUAGAGGGCACAGCAGAGAGCAAAGGAAGCAAGUGCAGGAAGCCAGACAGGGGCCUCAUGUGGACCACUGAAGAAGCAUGGCCUGCCUUGCUGGAAGCUCUCAAUACCCUCCCCACCUCCAAGGAAACCAGAAACCAAACCACUGAACUAGAAAUUGGUCCGGUGUCUAAAGAGAAAGACAGGACAGACAGGGCCUUUUGUUCUGUCUCCUAAGUCUGGGGGAGCUGGAGAGAUCCUGCUUGGGAAUCAACACCUCCCAGAAGGAAAGGCUCAUGGAUCUGGUUGCAGCAUAGAUGAUUGUCAAGGAGCCUUUGAAUCUCCCUUUACCUGAGUGGGCUCGCCAACAUGACCUCUGAGUCAUUUUGUCGGUUUUCUACAAGGAAACAGGAUGCCCUGGUUUUUUUUCUGGUCAGCUGUCUCUACAGAGGUCUCAUAGGAUUAACCAGCCCUUAUUCAUGGACUUGGGUGAGUCCCAGGUUUGGGGUCUGUCAACAAUGCAAGCAGGGGUAAGGGUGCCCUCCAACCUACAACUACCAUUUAAUUAGCAUUUUGGGAUGGUUCAUUGUUAUAUCCUAAGACUCUGUCUCUUUGAAUUAUAAGGAUUUAACUGUGUUAAAAGAUGGACAUUUUAUAUUCAUGGUUUAAGACUGAUGGCACACUAGCCCAUAUAUACAAUUAUAUAGAAUUUAACUUGCAAAUUGAACAAUGAAAGAUACAAAGAAGGAAGCAUACUGAAAUAUUCUAGUGGGUUGAAAAUGAAGCUGGAUGGAGGGUGAUAGUUACAUUAAGCUUUACUAAAAGCUUUUCAAAUUUAAUUAUUCAUCUUUUAAGCAAUAUAGUAGACAGCCCCCAAGGUGGCCCUCAAUGAUCCCACCUCCUGGUAUUCAUAACCCUGUGCAGUCUCUCCCACAUGAUAACCAUGUUAGGCUCUGUGGCCAAAAGCACACAGCAGAAGUGAAGGCAUAACACUUCUAUGAUUAGGUUAGAAGAGACUGUGACUUCCAUCUGGGGUGCUCUCUCCUGCAUGGCAUGCUCUCUGAAGUCACCCACACUGGGGGAACCAGUGUCUUAUUGGGUCGCUAUGGAAGGGUCUGCUUGGAGAGGAACUGAGACCAACAGGCUGCAGGAAUAGGAGGCAUGUUAACAGCUGUGGGUGAAUUUAGAUUAAAGCAGGUGUUUGGCUUCAGCUAAGUUUUGAGAUUACUGUACAAUGACUAACAUAUUGAGAUGUUCUGAAAGGCUAAGCCAGAACCAUAAGCCCUUUAAAUCAUCCCUGGACUCCUGAGUAAAAAACACAGUAAGAUAAUGAAUGUUUAAAGCUGUAAAGUUUUUGGUAACUUGUGCAACAAAAUUUGCCUAACACAGGCAGCCUUACCCCUUUCUGAGAUGACAGACUUCCUGAGAUGACAACAUGCUGGACUCACAUCCUCUUGGCUGGGUGUGGCUAUGGUGGGUGUGGCUAUGGUGGGUGUGGCUAUAGUGUGCCUUGCUGCUGGGCUCUAGGACCAUUGGUGUGGGCUGGUAGAGGGAGGAACUGGGUUAGGUGGACAGAAGAAGUGCAGUCCCAAAUGGCCUUGUUUGUAAUGGAGAAAUGGUCUCUUAAAAAUUUAUAUUUUUAAUUAAGUAAGUGCCUUUUUUUGAAUGUAUGUUUGCCAUGGCAUGUGUGUGGAAGCCGGAGGGCACCUUGCAGGAGUGGGUCUUUCUUUCUACCAUGUAGUUCUCAGGGAUUGAAUUUAGGUCAUGAGAUUUAGUAGCAAGCACCUUAAUCUGACAAUCUCUCUUGCUGGGUCAGAAAUGGCUUGUUUUAAGGAAGGUGAUAAUCAACUGGAAUUUGGCAAAAAACAAAACAAAACAAAACAAAACACAAAAAACAAAACCAAAAACCAAUCUGUCUUAACAGUCACAGUCAGCCUCAGCCUGAGUGGGGUGGGCCGAUGUUUAGAGAUGUGAAAUGAUUUGUUCAGGAUCCCAAGCUUUGAAAGGAAGGGCUCAGAUUCAUAUCCGGGUCUGAAUCUAACAAUAGAAAGCAGAUAAAGUGAAUAGACUCUGGUUUACAAGGUCCAUGCACGUACCAGCUCACUGUGGCCUCACAACUGCUGUGGGAAGACCAACUUCCCCACUCUCCAGUGCAGGAGAGUGACCUGAGGGCUGGAGUGGUUGGUGCAGGGACUUGUCCUGGUCCAGCUAUGAGAGUGACGCCAGGCACUUGGGCAGAUGUGCUCAGCACUGCCAUUACACCAGGAGAAUGGCUCUUAGUUUGCUUAUGUUUAAAAGACUGCUUUCUUUCCUCUUUGACUAGGUAUCCCUCUCACAAGUGAGGGGUCCAUGAAGCCAAGAAGACAUUUGUUUCCCCCUUUCUACCCACAUCCAGAGCUUCUCUGUGUGUCCUGGCCUGAGUCUGGCUGUUGAGUAUGGUGUUCUCUCUUCUUGUUUCCUAUAAGCAACAAACUGCUCUGUGCACUUCUACUUUGCAGAAGGUGUGUUUGGAGCUCAGAUGCAUGGGCCAGAGUGCCCCUGCGCAUAAGUGCAUGUGAGCAUCCUUAUGGUGGAUAGAGCCAGCUAGGCUAGUUUUGGUUUUCUCCAAACCUUGAAUCUUAAUGCAGAAUGACAAGGAGUCAUAAUUAGCUCCUGGCUUAACUUAUGAACCUGGCUUUCCAACUCCUUACAGAUGAAUAUUGUCCAGAUAGAAGGAUGUAAAAUAUUCCAUUUCAAAACAUAUUGGCUCUAUUUCCAACUUUAAUUUAUUUUGGUAUAGCACACAGUGGCCUAACAAGUGUUGGAGAGGAGUCUGCACACAGCCGUGCUUUUUACAAGCAAGUAGAAAAGCCAAAGACUUAAGAUAGGCAGAAGUGCGGUGUUGAUAUAAGGAAAGGCUUGGAAAAACAAUGGGGGUAGGAAAUGGGAGAAAGGAAUUGAUAUUUAAGAAAGAAACCAGUGUAAGAGGAGCAGAGGAGAUGAUGAAGGACGCCAUGGCAGAUGAAGGUGGUGUAGAUUCUUGAACUUGGUCCAUCAAGAGGAAACAUGUUUCUUCCUUUACUUUCGUCUGGGCUGAGAGUAUGGCUAGCUCUGAUCAGUAAAUCAAAAUAAUACUAUAGUUUCUGAGGCUUAGGAAAUAUGAAGCACCAGUUUCUACCCUCUUGGGGUGUUCUAUCUUAGAAGUCAGCUGCUAUAUGAGAAGUCCACGUACUCGCAACUACCAUGCUGUGAGGUAACCCAGGCUAACUAAAGAGAGAAUGAAGCCAAGUGGCAGAGACGGAGGCACCAGGUGCAUACGAAAAGUUUUCUCUCGGACAUUAUUUCCCUGGUCAGCAGCAGGUGAGCGCAGCCCAGUGGAUUACCUCAGCUAAUGUGGAACAGAAGAACCCCUGGCGGAUUCUUGCCUGAUCCUUUAGCUUUUGAGCGGGUUAAGAUGGUCUCUGUUUGAAGCCACUAAGUUUUGAGACAGUUUAUAAGGCAGUGAUAGGCUGAGAUCUGUAAAGAAGAAAUGAGCCCAAGUCAAAGGACAAGGUUGAAAGGGCGCGCUUUACGAGGAGGUUAUAAAGAAUAUAUUGAGAGCUAUGGUGACUGGAUAAAAAAGGAGAGCAUCUGUCCCCACGUGUCUUAGGAAUGGAAUGAAUUCUCACCUGUCUCAGUGGGCUUUGGCAUCAACCUUUGUGAAGGCAGCAGCCGCUGAGACUCUUUUUUAGUGUCUCUGCACACCCAGACAACUCCCUACAACAUCAUAGCCAUGUCCACCUCUGUGAAGCUAACAGGGCAGAGGUUGUUCUCUUGCCAGUUGUUGGUCCCUUUCCUAUUUGAUUUACAACAGUACUCUUGUCUGAGGCUACAUUGGCUCUGUGAGCUCUCAGACCUGUGGUGGACAGUCAUGGAAGCUAUGCUGCUGAAGGCCUGGUCAGAACUGGAAGUUUGAGCCCUGGAGCAGGCUUAGAAAAAAUGAAAGAUUAAUAUUUUUAUUUUUUCUGUUCAUGCUCCAUAUUAUGGAAUGACUACCAUCGUUAUUAGCUACCGUUUAUGGAAUACUGUGCAACAAACACUUUCGAUCUAUUAAGUCAUUCAUUAACUUAACCUUACAUCUUAUAUCUAUCACCAUUUGUAGUUGAGAGAAUAGACAUUUGAGGUCAACUCAGAUGAUCUACCUAAGGCCAUGGUGCCAGUUAGUGACAGAGCUAAAACAUGAACCCAGGUCUGUCUACCUCCCCAAAGCACUUCAAGGCUCAUCCUCUUGGGUUCCUGCUCUCACUUCUGCCUUGGUGUCAGGAAAUAGUUAAGAUCCACCACUGUUGACUGGUGGAUACUUGGCUAAGGCCUCUUCUCAAGGCAAUGAUAUUAUAAAAUGUCACUUCAUUAGUGUCUUAGCACAUCCUAACAGUGCUUUGUUUAUAAUGGCCCAAAGGCUCAAAUUAUCAGUCAGUGUAAACAUCUCUAAAUGCAUUAGAAGUUCUAAAUGAAAACAGAAGCAUCAAUGUAGUAAAGGAAUAAAAACCAGCAGAAAGGGGCUAGGGGUCACUGCAGAGUUAGGAUAAGCAAGCCUUCAUGAGUACAGGUCUCAAUCUUCUCUAUUCCAUAAAAUGGCACCCAGGAUAAGCAAUUGCUUCUUGUUGAGGCCAAGAUUGCUUCCCUGGGUUCAGACAAUAAUCCACUGAACACUAGUCAGUCUACAUAUAGAGUACUAUGCCUAGUGCUGGGCUGGGACCUGCCUUCAAGUUAUCAAGACUGAAGAUGGAAGCAGGGCUCAUAAGCUACCCGCCCAAGAAGUCAUCUCUGACCCUACCCAAAGGACAAAUUCUAGGCCUUCACUGUACACUUGAAACCUUGUGUGAAUAUCAAACACUUAACUCUUAGGGUAGCUGGGACGAUCAUGACUCUAAUCAGCUAUAGGGGCUCUCUGGGGUACCUUGGUCUCAAGAGCAAUGUCAUUCUUAGAUGUGGGACUUGCAUUUCCUCUCAUUAGGCCAUACCAUUCUUUUAGGGCAAUAAUUUACAAGGUCCAGGUGCCCAUGCACCUACCUGGUGUCCAUGCCUUCUUCUCAGGCAGUACUCUGAUAAUGAGGUCUUCAGAAUUCCCUUUUAUCAUGACCUGAUGCCUAUAUGAUUCCCCCCCCCCCCCGGCCUUAGGAGCAUCAUUUUGAGGGUACAUACUAAUUGAGGUGAAUUGUGGAUCAUGAUUAGUUAUACAGUGUGAUGUGCCUAUGUGCAUACAUGCAAGGGCCCUUGCAGUAAGAGAUUGGCCGGGAGGUGGCAUACCAUUAAAGACCUCCCUUGUAAAAUUCAGGAGUCAGCUUGUCCAUGAGUCUGCUCAUUGGAGACACUGAAAGCGAGACUUAAUGAUGUCACUUGAUAGUGUGGCCUGCUCAUCACUAAUGUGGCGUCAGCAUUUUCUACCUCCUGUGUACCCAAAGGAAGCGGUUGGAUUUGAGGCUAGGGCCAUGGCAAUGCUGGCUGGGGGAAGAACAGAGCCCCCAGCAUCAACACGGUUAUUUGCUUUGGUGUUCAUGCAAAUGUGAACACCUACAUGCCCAAGAGCAGGAAGUGUGGGUUUGCAUGUACCAAUGCAUUUGGGUGACUGCGAGCAAGGAAAGCCAGCAUGCGAGGGGAGUGGGAGAGAGGAGAGUGACCACCUAAAAAGAAGUGUGCGUGUUGGGGGGAAGAAAAGAUGUCUGUGCAAGCAUGGAGUGACAGGUCUACACCAAGUAUCAACCAUGGUCCCUGCAAUCAAGAGUGCUAAAUGGCAGGGGAAGAGGGGAUGCAGGGGGAAGGAGUGUGCUUUCUGAUCUUGGUGCACAUAUGUGAGGUCAGGGUGCAGUCCCAGGAGAGACCCAGAGAGAGUGAGAGGGCUGGUAUGUCUUUUAGUUGCCAGGGAGCUUAUGAAGUGGAUAAAGGCAGAUGUCACUGCAGAGCUGAGCAAGCUGAGCAUGCGAGAGGAAGGAGACAUGCAGGUGUGUAUGUCCUCCGGAGGUGCGUGUCCACCCCCACAGGGCCCUGUGAGUCUAAGGUGGGCCACGUGCUCGGGCGACUGUGUGGGCAUGUGCGUGUGUGUAUGGGAGCAUGCGGCUGUGUCAAAUGAGAACAAACACAAAGUGUGUGAGCGCACGUGGGAGUUGCCCUGGAGGGUGUGAGCAGCCUACCCGCUUUGAAGGCAGCUGUGGGCUUCCUGGAUUGCUUGUGAUGCCUAAAGACAUCUUCACUCCAGGGAACGCUAUCUAAGAGGUCUAUAUGACCUGCCUCAUGCCGGCUCAGGUCCGGGUGACCGAGGCUCUGAGUGUUGGCCGUGUCAUCCCACUCUGAAGUUUGUGUGGGAAUGGAUGAGUCACCCAGCCUGGCUGGCCCUCACUCUGCCUGUAUCUUGCCCAGCAGGGAAGGCAGUAGGGAGGGAGAGAGACUACUUAGGGCUGUAUUCUUAUACUGCUAUUAUCAUUAUGCAAUUGCUCACAGUGUCUAUGGGUUCUUCGGAGGCCCAGCACCCCAGUGCUCUUGGCCUCUGUACAUUCAUCUGUUUUAUGUCCAGGUUGCCAUUUAGGUCAGCAAAUCUGGAUGACCAGCCUUUGUGGCAAUAGAUUUCACACCAGGAUCAGCGCCACACAAUCACAGUGCUAAACCACCUUCCAGUUCUUCCCCACCUCCCUCUGCUUCGCUUUCAUCUUUUUCUACGGUCAUUCCACUGUUGGCCCAUGGUUCCCCCUCCCUACGAGUUGCCUAUCUUCCCUCUACAGUGGAUACUUAUGGAUGAUCUCAGCUCUUUAUUAAUCCACCGAGCCAUCCAACAAUCCUGUAUGGCACCAAAGAUUAAUCUUUUAAAAAUGUUUUAUUUUCUUGAUUUAAAACAUUAUUUUAUGUGCAUUGCGAUUUUGCUUACAUGUCUGUCUCUGGGAGGGUGUUGGGGCCCUUAGAGGUGAGGUCACAGACAUCUAUGAGCUGCCAAGUGGAUUCUGGAAAAUGACCCCAGUUCCUCUGGAAAAGCAGCCAGUGCUCUUAGCUGCUGAGCUAUCUCUCUAGCCCUGCAAAGAUUAAUCUUGACACUUUAUAGACAGCAGAUCCAGGAAGGUGAAGUUAUUAACUUCUCUGAUUAGUGACUGAGACAGAUUUAAGACCAGAAUCUCACUCUUUUUUCCCUUAUAGUAAUUGAUUUAAUGUAUAUGGGUUUUUGUUUGCAUGUACGUCUCGACACUACAUGCCUGCAGAGUUCACGGAGUAACUGGAGGCACAGACCAUGUGUGAGCCUCCAUGUGAAUACUGGGAUUGAACCUGGACCCUCUGGAAGAAUAGCCAGUGCUCUUAUCAGCCUCUCUGCUGUGGCUCUGCCCCAUUUUCCAGAAUUGGCCCAGCACAGAACCCGUCCACGAACCUUCAUUAAGCACUUGAAUGCCUCCAGUGAUGGGGCACUCAUUUCUCUCCUCUGGAAUCAUCAGCUCGACGACUGGACCACUCUGAAAGUCAGGAAGCUAAGUUCUUCACCCCGUGGACCCCCAUCUUUCUUGCCUACAUGUUGGACUUAUGCUAUCACACUAAAAUAUGAGGGAUGGAUCUGUCACCCCACCCUUCCCAGCACACGGUGGCCCUUCAGGUACCCAGCUUUCAUAUUCCUUCAGACAAUUCUUUCUUUCCAACUAGCUCUUCUGGUCGCCUCUAGGAUGUCUUCUAUGAGAUACAUCCAUCCCUCUAACCAGGAGAUCAUGGUAUGCAAUGGUGCCCCUACAGGUUAAGGGCAAGCUGCUCCAAAGGCCCAGGCUACUAGAAGAGCUUUCAAGACAUGGGAACCAGUGGGCAGCGGAUGCUGUCAUUGCUUAUUUUGAAGUCACUACUUCAGAGUCAUAUUUGUUUCUUUUCAAUGCCAAUCUUAAAUGUCACACAGAGACUGCAUUUUAGAACGUCUUACCUUGCACGAUCAUGAGGUUUCUCAGACACCACAGGUUUGCGGCUUCAAAGUUAGAAUUCAAAAGGCUAUUUUUGAAACAAACAUUUGGGCGGAGGAUAUGAAAACGUAGGCUGACAAAGGUAUGGCAAGUUUUCAUCGGUUUCGCCUGCCUUUAUUUUGUAACAUUGCCGCAACGGACGCUUGUUAUGAGGAAAAUAAUUAAAACAUAUAAAAAGGGAAUAAAACCACCUUCUGUCUUCUCUACUCCUUUCCUUUGAAUGCAGUUUACCUUGACCAGGGAUGUGGUCUCCUACUGGUGUGCCAUGCUGCCACCCCAUGGGCACAGUGCCCUGGCUGUCUCCAUGGUGACAGCUACGACAGGGGUUUGAACAGGUGGGCAGACUCCUGCAUGUGUGGUCACUUGCACUCCAAAGGCAGGUUCUGAUUUCUAACCAGGCUUCUCUGCAGGACUGACAGGCAGCUCUGCAUGCUGCUUGGCCACCCUCAGCUCAGACCAUAGCAUCUGGUUUAAAAUCUUCUCCACUGCUCCCGAGGCCUUCACUGACACAUCACUGAUCAGCGGCUCUCUGUGCUGGGCUCCCUGGCCUACUCUCUUCCUUUUUACCCCUAAGCACAUCUUCAGCUGUCUGCUCUUCUUCCCAGAGGAGGCAGAGCUGCCCCAAAGGAUACUAGGUCAGAAAGACACUCAGGGUUUGAGCAACAAAUCCCCAUCUAUACAGAUACCUUGGAACAGCAAGUUCACAGUCAGCCAGGUCUCUGGUUCUGUGUCAAGUGGUACCUUCUUCCCCAACUUUGAGUUCUUGAGUCAUAGGAGUGUGGAGGACACUUACCCAACAGCCUCUCACUACAGCACAUGUCCAGGGUUCCUCCCUCGGAGUCAUCAGCAGCCUGGCUCUCUCUCUCACUCCUGUAGUGGGAGAGAAAUUGUUAGGAGAAGUUGGUGGUCCAGGAUUGAGCCCCAGCCGUUAGCAAAGACGAAGAGCUGCCCCUUCAGUAUCCCUUUGAUUCGCUCCACUUCAUCAGGAGGACCCAUGGGAAAGAACAGCCCCUAUGGCGUCAAGCUGUAGAAGAGGGGCUGGAUUUUGCAGGUGUCUCCUGUGUAAUCUCAUCAUCACCACAGCCACCACCACCACCUCCUCCUCCUCCUCAUCUUCCUCCUCCUCCUUCUCCUCCUCUUC